GUGAGAGUGCUCGCAUGAAAUGAAGGGCCAUUUGAGAACACCUAAUGGAGCCCUGGAAUCAAUUUCAGCGCUUUGGUACCUCAACUAGAAGAAACAGGAUGAUGAGGAAAUGGAAGACACGUCUAUUAACCUACAGCCAUCAUCAAAGAAGCUUCCUCCUUCAGCAGAUGGGAACAAAUACAGAGACCCACGACAGACAUUACACAGAGACCUAAAAAGGGGAUGUCUCCAUCAAAUCCCUCCCCUCAGAGCUCAGGGAAUCCUGAGAAGAAAAGGAGCAAAGACUGUAGAUCCAGAAGGGAUGGAGGACACCAAGAAAAUAAGGCUUUCUGAGUCAACAGGAGCAAAGCUCACAUGAGCUCACAGAGACUGAAGCAGCAUGCACACAUCUGCACAGAUCUGCGCCAGGUCCUCUGUAUAUAAUAUGGCCUCCAGUUUAGUGGCUUUGGCGGGGGAGGGGGCUCCUGAAUGUGAGAAAGCAGUUCUCUGAGUCUCAUGCCAUCUUUUGGGCUUGUUUUCUUCUGUUGGCUUGCCUUGUCCAACUUUGAUGUGACAGUUUUUGUUUUGGCUUAUAUUUUAUUUUGUGAUAUAUAUUAUUUGUUUUGUUUUACGAGACAGGGUUUUUCUGUGUAGCCUUGGCUGUCCUGUAGCUCACUUUGCAGAACUCACAGAGGUCUGCCUCUGCCUCCCAAGUGCUGAAAUUAAAGGCAUGUGUCACCAACACCUGGCUAUUUUGUUAUAUUUUUUGAAUGAAUGAAUGAAUGAAUGAAUGAA